rnacentral:tRNA from 1 species
AGCGGGGUAGGGUAGCCUGGUUAGCCCGCGGGGCUCAUAGCCUCAAAGGCGAGAGACCCCGAGGUCCCUGGUUCAAAUCCAGGCCCCGCUA